GCUUAAUCUCAGCUAAAUAUAAUUCAAAGCUGUAAAGGAAACGAGAAAACAUCUAAUUUAGUUUAGCGAAAAUGGAGGAAGAAUUUAAUGCUGGAAGGAUCAAAGGCGCUGCUAAGAGGACUUUGCAAAUUACACCUCUUGAUGAGGAAGAUCAAGAAGAGGUUCAAAUUGAUGACAGUGGAGAUGUUGAUUCGUAUGAUGAUGAUGAUGAGACGGAGGAGGAGGAUGAAGACAAGGAA
rnacentral:misc_RNA from 1 species